CUACGGGAUGCUCCAGUGGGGAAUAUUGCACAAUGGGCGCAAGCCUGAUGCAGCAACGCCGCGUGAGGGAUGAAGGCCUUCGGGUUGUAAACCCCUUUUAGCAGGGAAGAAGCGAAAGUGACGGUACCUGCAGAAAAAGCACCGGCUAACUACGUGCCAGCAGCCGCGGUAAUACGUAGGGUGCAAGCGUUGUCCGGAAUUAUUGGGCGUAAAGAGCUCGUAGGCGGUUUGUCACGUCUGCUGUGAAAAUCCAAGGCUCAACCUUGGACUUACAGUGGGUACGGGCAGGCUAGAGUGCGGUAGGGGAGAUGGGAAUUCCUGGUGUAGCGGUGGAAUGCGCAGAUAUCAGGAGGAACACCAAUGGCGAAGGCACAUCUCUGGGCCGUAACUGACGCUGAGGAGCGAAAGCGUGGGGAGCGAACAGGAUUAGAUACCCUUGUAGUC
rnacentral:rRNA from 1 species